GGAGCAGGGGCUGGAGCAGGACAGGGGCUGCCCUGGUUUCAGUCCAGGUGAGUCAUCCAGUGCUUCACAGGCUUUCCCAUUUGGGUCCUGGCUUCAGACACAGAAACCAACCAGUUUUCACCCCCGAUCCCUGCUCUUGGGCGAGGACCACCCUGCUACCCAGCACGUAGUAGUAGGGCCCGUGACAGCAUUUUUCAGCAAAGGUACGUGGUGGGGCAUUGGGUGUUAGCAAAGUUGAGUGAGACGCUCUAGAACCAGCCCCCUGGCCCUUUCCUGACCUGUCUACCAUGUGGGGUGAGAGCCGGGGAGUAGUCACAGGAAAGGACUCUCAGGAAGAAUGAUGACACUUUACUUCCAGGUCCGUGUCCGGAAUGGCCCCGCCUCAUUCACAAUGCCCAUCCACAACCCCCUUCCCGCUCAGUCCUCUGCCUGACAGGUGUCCAGGGCACAUGGCCACACUCAGACUAUUUCCCCCACCCCAGAAAAUUACAGGUUGGGAGAGGCUGAUACUUGGUGGGAGGCUGUGAAUUAGAGGAGUGAAAUUACGACUACAGACUGGUACAAGCAAGCCCGGGCCACGCCGCUUACCUCUGACCCUGACGAAGAGUCUUAAUCUCUCAACGUCGGUUUCCUGCUUUGUAAAAUGGGCCUUUUUCUAGGCUCUGGUGGCAGUGGGGACAUGGAUUCAUACCUCAGAAUUGUGAGAAUUAGACAUCAGUGGGUUCUUCAGACAGGAGAAGCGAGAGCCUGAUGUGGCAGCACUAGGAGGGAGAGAUGAAGACGGAUAGGCACAGGGGGCACCAAGAGAUGGUGACCCAGGGCCUCUUCACCCAUCCUCCAAGGCCCUGCAGAAGAAGCCUUUUCAGCUGAUCUAAGGUGGCACUAAUCUGGGCAAGUCUGCUUAUAUAAAUGGGACAUCACAGCUCAGAGCUGAGUCAAUGAGGGUAGUGAAGUCCCAUUUCCAGUCCAAUCCCAGAGAUUCUAAUUCAGUAGGAACUGGGGUCCAGGAAUAUGCAUCUUCAAAAGCUCCCCUGAUAAUUCUGAUGCCGGUGGACCAAAGCAACACUGCCUGAGGUUACAAAAGACUGAUUUCACCUUGCUGAUAUCUUCUCUCUGGCUCUUGCUCUGAUGAACGGGGCUGCCUCUGACAUACAGUCAGCCAGGGAAUGAAGUCCUUAGUCUGACCACCUAAAGCUGAUGUAUCCUGUUGACAAUCACUGGGUGUGCCCGGAAGUAAGUCCUUCCUACUGGAACCCUGAGAUGAGACGCCCUCGCUAACACUGUGCUGUAGCCUCGGGGGGGACCCUGAAAACCCAGCAGAGAACUCAACUUAGCUGUGCCGAUUCCCGGACCAUAGAAACUGAGAUAAUAAAUGUGUGUUGUUUUAAGC
rnacentral:lncRNA from 1 species